rnacentral:snRNA from 1 species
GGAUGUGAGGGCAAUCUGGCUGUGACAUCUGUCACCCCACUGAUCACCAGGGUUGAUUCGGCUGAUCUGGCUGGCCAGGUGGGUGUCCCCUUCCUCCCUCACUGCUCCAUGUGUGUCCCUCACAAAGCUGCGUGCUUGGUCGAAGAAGACGGCCUUCCCUGAUAGAGAUGGAUGGGUCUUCAGUCGAGGGUAUACGAGUAGCUGCACUCCCCUGCUAGAACCUCCAAACAAGCUCUCAAGGUCCAUUAGUAGGAGAAUGUAGGGUAGUCAGGUUUCCAGAAUUCCAGACACAUUCAAAUGAGGCACUGCAUGUGGCAGUCUGCCUUUCUUU